rnacentral:rRNA from 1 species
GAUGAACGCUGGCGGCGUGCCUAAUACAUGCAAGUAGAACGCUGAAGGAGGAGCUUGCUCUUCUGGAUGAGUUGCGAACGGGUGAGUAACGCGUAGGUAACCUGCCUGGUAGCGGGGGAUAACUAUUGGAAACGAUAGCUAAUACCGCAUGACAACAGUUAUUGCAUGAUAACUGUUUAAAAGGGGCAACUGCUCCACUACCAGAUGGACCUGCGUUGUAUUAGCUAGUUGGUGAGGUAACGGCUCACCAAGGCGACGAUACAUAGCCGACCUGAGAGGGUGAUCGGCCACACUGGGACGGAGACACGGCCCAGACUCCUACGGGAGGCAGCAGUAGGGAAUCUUCGGCAAUGGACGGAAGUCUGACCGAGAAACGCCGCGUGAGUGAAGAAGGUUUUCGGAUCGUAAAGCUCUGUUGUAAGAGAAGAACGAGUGUGAGAGUGGAAAGUUCACACUGUGACGGUAUCUGACCAGAAAGGGACGGCUAACUACGUG